AGUGACGGAGCUAGAGCAUUAGGA
rnacentral:siRNA from 1 species